rnacentral:rRNA from 1 species
AAAAAGGAUCAUCCCCUACCACCAGUUCGGUUUCAGGCAAGGACAUGGCGCCAUUCAGCAGUGCCACCGGGUCGUCUUCAGGGUCUUGGAUGCCUUCGAAAACAGGAAAUAUUGCGCAGCAGUCUUUCUGGAUGUGAGGCGGGCUUUCGACAGGGUGUGGCACCUCGGCCUGCUAUUCAAGCUGAAGCAACAGUUACCGACCCCAUACUACAUGUUCCUUAAGGCAUACGUCGAAGAGAGGAGGUUUUACGUGAGGAGCAGUAACUCCAAAUCACCCCAACACGUGGUGAGAGCCGGAGUACCCCAGGGCAGCGUACUCGGUCCUGUGCUGUACAACAUAUUCACCUCAGAUAUGCCAGUAACUGAAGACAACAGAAUAUUGACAUGCACCUACGCGGACGACACAGCGCUCCUGUGCUCUGACGCAACUCCUGCUUUGGCAGCGCAAGGGCCGCAACACGAGCUGGACACGAUUCAGUCAUGGCUGAAAAGGUGGAACAUCACCAUAAAUCCACCUACGUCACGUUUACACUCAGAACAGGCAACUGCCCAGCAUACCGUCCAAUGCGAAGGCCAAGUACCUGGGACUAACAAUUAAAUACUUGUAUUUUUUCAUAUGUUCCUCCUAUUUAAAAACCUGCAUUAGUGCUCUUAAGCGAGUGUUAUUGUGGGCCGGUACUAUUACUUUGAACAAAUUAGAGUGAAAUAAGACCUAUGUUUUGCUUUCAUUGGUUUUCAGAUCAAGAGGUAAUGAUUAAUAGAAGCAGUUUGGGGGCAAAGCUUUUGGGCUCCGGGGGAAGUAUGGUUGCAAAGCUGAAACUUAAAGGAAUUGACGGAAGGGCACCACCGGCUUAAUUUGACUCAGCAUGGGAAAAAUUACCGGGUCCGAACAUAAGUGUGUAAGAUAGAUUGAUAGCUCUUUCUCGAAUCUAUGGGUGGUGGUGCAUGGCCGUUCUUAGUUCGUGGAGUGAUUUGUCUGGUUAAUUCCGAUAACGAACGAGGCUCAAAUAUAUUAAAUAGAUAUCUUCAGGAUUAUGGUGCUGAAGCUUAUAUAGCCUUCAUUCAUGGUGGCAGUAAAAUGUUUAUUGUGUUUGAAUAUGUUUAUGUAAGUGGAGCCGUACCUAAUGGUUUGUCCCAUUAUAAGGACACUAGCUUCUUAAAUGGAUAAAUUGCGUCUAGCAAUAGUGAGAUUGAGCAAUAACAGGUCUGUGAUGCCCUUAGAUGUCCUGGGCUGCACGCGCGCUACAAUGAAAGUAUCAACGUGUAUUUCCUAGACCGAGAGGUCCGGGUAAACCGCUCAACCACUUUCAUGCUUGGGAUUGUGAACUGAAACUGUUCACAUGAACUUGGAAUUCCCAGUAAGUGUGAGUCAUUAAAUCGCAUUGAUUACGUCUCUGCCAUUUGUACACACCGCCCGUCGCUACUACCGAUUGAAUUAUUUAGUGAGGUCUCCGAACGUGAUCACUGUGACGCCUUGCGUGUUACGGUUGUUUCGCAAAAGUUGACCGAACUUGAUUAUUUAGAGGAAGUAAAAGUCGUAACAAGGUUUCCGUAGGUGAACCUGCGGAAG